rnacentral:lncRNA from 1 species
UAGAAAUGAACACACAAGAAAAUUUAAACGACGAUGAUGGUGACUUUUUUAGAAAUGUGCAGGAGAUAAUGGCAGAAGAGACAGAGUCUUUUCUGCCUUAUUUUAAAGAAUUCUCCGAUAAUCAAAAAAAAUUAGAAGAUUUACAAAAGUCCAUAGGUGAGUAAAAUUGCUUUUAUGUUUAUUAUACACCCUAAUUAUUUAUGUACAUCUAAUAUUAAAUGCGUUUUUUCAAUUUGAGAUUAGUUUUGGACUUUGUACUUUUUGGUCAAUUUUUUUAGAUAUCAUUUUAAACUACAUUUGUAAGUAACUAUAUUAUGUUUUAUGUCUCAUAAAAGUUUUAAUAAAUAGUAUAAUGUAAUCACUUAUAUAGUGACAAAUCCAACUUCCUCAGUAACGUAUGUUG